AUUGAACGCUUGCGGCAGGCCUAACACAUGCAAGUCGAACGAGUGGCGGACGGGUGAGUAAUGUCUGGGAAACUGCCUGAUGGAGGGGGAUCACUACUGGAAACGGUAGCUAAUACCGCAUACCAUCAGAUUUGCCCAGAUGGGAUUAGCUUGUUUGUGGGGGAACGGCUCACCAAGGCGACGAUCCCUAGCGGGUCUGAGAGGAUGACCAGCCACACUGGAACGGAGACAUGGUCCAGAGUCCUACGGGAGGCAGAAGUGGGGAAUAGUGCACAAUGGGCGCAAGCCUGAUGCAGCCAUGCCGCGUGUAUGAAGAAGGCCGUCGGGUUGUAAAGUACGUGCAGCGGGGAGGCGUUACCCGCAGAAGAAGCACCGGCUAACUCCGUGCCAGCCGCCGAGGUAAUUC
rnacentral:rRNA from 1 species